rnacentral:rRNA from 1 species
GAUGAACGCUGGCGGCGUGCUUAACACAUGCAAGUCGAACGGAAAGGCACUGCUUUUGUGGGGUGCUCGAGUGGCGAACGGGUGAGUAACACGUGAGUAACCUGCCCUUGACUUUGGGAUAACUUCAGGAAACUGGGGCUAAUACCGGAUAGGAGCUCCUGCUGCAUGGAGGGGGUUGGAACGUUGCGGCGGUUGGGGAUGGACUCGCGGCUUAUCAGCUUGUUGGUGGGGUAGUGGCUUACCAAGGCUUUGACGGGUAGCCGGCCUGAGAGGGUGACCGGCGACAAUGGGACUGAGAGACGGCCCAGACGCCUAUGGGAGGCAGCAGUGGGGAAUAUUGCACAAUGGUCGGAAGCCUGAUGCAGCGACGCCGCGUGCGGGAUGACGGCCUGCGGGUUGUAAACAGCUUUCGCCUGUGACGAAGCGUGAGUGACGGUAAUGGGUAAAGAAGCACCGGCUAACUACGUG